rnacentral:tRNA from 1 species
UACCCGGUGGUGUAAUGGUAACACAGUUGUUUUUGGUGCAAUUAUUCCAGGUUCGAGUCCUGGCCGGGUAA